rnacentral:misc_RNA from 1 species
GAUGAAGAACGUAGCGAAAUGCGAUAAGUAGUGUGAAUUGCAGAAUUCAGUGAAUCAUCGAAUCUUUGAACGCACAUUGCGCCCUUUGGUAUUCCUUAGGGCAUGCCUGUUCGAGCGUCAUUUAAACCUUCAAGCUAAGCUUGGUGUUGGGUGACUGUCCGCUUCACGGCGGACUCGCCUCAAAAUUAUUGGCGGCCGGUACAUUGGCUUCGAGCGCAGCAGAAACGCGAACUCGGGCCCGUCGUAUUGGCUCCCAGAAGCUAUCUUCACAAUUUUGACCUCGAAUCAGGCAGGGAUACCCGCUGAACUUAAGCAUAUCAAUAAGCGGAGGA